CAGCUGUUCCUCUGCUUGUGGGAUCCUCCUGAUCCAGGGAUUGAACCCAUGUCCCCUGCAUUGGCAGGUGGACUCUUGGCCACAGCACCACCAGGGAAGUCCCGUGUUUUCUUUUUUCUUUUUUUUUUUUAAUAUUUAUUUACUUAUUUGGCUAUGCCAGGUCUUUAGAUUUGGGUUUCAGCAUGUGCAAUCUACUUGCCUGAGCAGUGAUGGGACCUGCACCCCCUGCACCCCGAGCUCGGAGUCUUAACCACUGGACCACCAGGAAAGUCCUUAUCUCUCCUCUUUUCUAAGGACAGUCUGUCAGUAUAUUUAGGGCCCAGUGUAAAUCCAGAACAAAACAACCUCAUUUCAAGAUCUUUAAUUUAACUACAUCUGCAAAGACCUUUUUUUUUUUUUUUUCCUCAAAUAAGGUCACAUUCACAGGGACUGAGGUUGGGUAUGGAUCAUUAGGAUAGGUGUGGUCCAGAGAAGAGCCAUGAAACUCCCUAAGAGACAUCACAGCAGUGAAUGGCAGUGAUGGUGUGGGGAUACCUAGGUCUGCAGCAGAGUGUGGAGCAAAGAAAUAAACACCAGGUGAAAAAGUUUUGAACACCUACUGUUGCCAAAGUGAACUCACGUCAGUUCACUCUACACGCAACAUGGCUGUAUUGAAGGGAAGUACAGCAUUCAUUGCGGGGCUCCAAGCAAGAGAAGGGAAGACAAGCCUCCAAACCACUGCAACUUGGACCUAGAGUUAGGAGUUUAUUUGUUGUUUUUUUUUAAGGGGGAGAACAAAGAGGCUGAAAUUAAUCAUCUUGUGGCAUUGUUGUGACUUUUUAAAAAAUUUAAAUCUUUUCUUUGUUGGUGAGUGUGUGGGCUUCUCUUUAGUCGCAGUGCGGGGGCCUAGCUGCCCUGCUGUACGCAGGAUCUUAGUUCCCUGAUCAGGCCAUCGAAUCUGCAUCCUCUGCCUUGGAAGUCCCGCUAUGACAUUUCAUCCUUUCUUUUAUUAUUUAUUUAUAUUUGUGUGCUCAGUCGCUCAGUCGUGUCCGACUCUUUGCCACCCCAUGGACUGUAUCCUGCCAGGCUCCUCUGUCCAUGGAAUUUUCCAAGCAGGAAUACUGGAGUGGGUUACCAGUUCCUAUGCCAGUGAUCCUCCCAACUCAGGAAUCAAACCUGCGUCUCGUGUGUCUCCUGCACUGGCAGGUGGGUUCUUUACCCCUGCACCACCUGGGAAGCCCCUAUUUAUUUUAUUCUAUUUUUGAUUGCCCUGGGUCUUUGUUGCUGUGCUGGGGCUUUCUCUAGUUGCAGAGAGCAGGGGCUACUCUCUCGUUGUGGAGCACAGACUCUAGGCACGUAGACUUUAGUAGCUGCAGCUUGUGAACGCAGGAGUUACGGUGUACGGGUUUAGUUGCUCCGAGGCAUGUGGAAUCUUCCUGGACCAAGGAUCAAACCCGUGUCCCCUGCGUUGGCAGGCAGAUUCUUAUCCACUGUAUCACCAGGGAAGUUCCGCUAUGACAUUUCUUAAUCAUAGUUCCAAGCAUCAGAUGUUUAUGGUUUUCCGGCCAGGUGCUCCAUGC
ensembl:lncRNA